GGAUAAAAGUCAACAUGUCCCAUGGGUUCAAAAGAGCCAAGUCCACCGCGUAAAAAGCUGUCUCCAUUGGAAUGAAUAAUGUCCACAAAUUGGGCAUCCUCACUGUCCAGUCGUACUUUGGCUGUGUAACCCUCAAAUAACGGUGAAGCCGGAUCUAGACCAGUGAUUCGUGAUAGAUUUUUAACCUCUGUGCCAGUAAAACCAGCAAUAUGGGCGCCAAGUGAGAAACCAAUGAGAUGAAAGUCAGAUGAUUUUAAACCUUUCUCGUACAUUAACAUUUUAAUAAGUAAAGCAAUUUGUUUACCAACCAGCUGAGUGUUUGCCGCUGCUUGAACGUAAUUAGGUAAGGCAGCUCCAUUACCCCAAUCAACAACAAUCACAUUAACAUCAUCCUAAAUUAAAAAUAAAACAAAAGCAAGGUGAUUGUGACGCCGAUAUAAUUGGUAAACUGUGUUCACUCAAGUCAGUCAACGGAUGAGAGUCAAUUUUUUGAAGUUGCCAUUUUGAAACGAACUGUAACCAGAUUUAAUAUCCAAACUAUUAAAAGUAUAUUCAACUUAAAA